rnacentral:lncRNA from 1 species
GGUUCCGGGUCCGGCAUUGGCCAUGGAGAGGAUUCCGGGGCCGGUGUGCUUCUUCACGAAGUUCUCAUCGGCGAAUUUUGAGCCGUAGAUUGAUUCCCCUCCGGUUCCGUUUCCGGCGGUGAAGUCUCCCCCCUGGCACAUGAAUCCGGGGAUCACACGGUGGAAGGACGAGCCCUUGUAGUGGAGUGGCUUGCCGGACUUGCCGAUGCCUUUCUCGCCGGUGCAGAGGGCGCGGAAGUUCUCGGCGGUUCGGGGGGUGACGUCGGCGAAGAGUUCCAUCACGAUCCGGCCGGCCGGCUGACCGCCGACGGUCACGUCGAAGAACACUUUGGGGUUUGCCAUUUUUGAUUGGUUGAUUGGUUGAUUGGAGAGAAAAAAACAAACUAAACACGGAUUUCUGAUUUGGUGAUUUUUGGGCGAAUUUUUUAGGGUUUUGGGGCAGUUAAAUACGGGAUGGAGCGGUGGGGGAGUAACAAAAAGUGAAUCUGGACCGUUGAGGGGGAACACGUGGAGGGAUAUCGUGGGGCGGGGUGGAAGUAACUGAGGUUGAGUUAAGGUUGACUAGAGUUAUGUGAGGGAUCCCAGGCUGAGGUAAGGGUGUUCGCGGAUCGGAUUUUACGGAUUAGACAUCAAUUCAUAUCCGAUCAACAAUGUUACGGAUUAUAAUUUUUCAAUUCAAUCAAAUUCACGGAUUGAUUAAACUCAAUUCAAAUCCAAUCCAUACAUUUGCGAAUCGGAUGUAGAUUUGACUCAAUCCAUAUCCAAUCUAUACGUCUGCGGAUCAGAUGCGGAUUUAAUUUAAUUCAUAUCUAAUCUACCUUUAGCACAUUAGUUUUCGAAUUUAAAAUUUUUAGUUCUCCUCAAUCCAUGAACUAAUGAAAUUAAAAAAAAAUCUAAUAUAAAAUAAUUUUACUACCAAUUAAAUUUAAAAUUAAAUAAAAUUUAAACAAAUUAAUUGUUUAAAUAAAACUAAAAUAAUACGUUUAAAGUUUCAAAAUAUAAUACACUAAGAUUAAUUAUUCAAAUAAAGUUACAAUAAUACAUUAAUAUAACACCGAAAUUAAUUGUUCAAAUAAAGCCACAAUUAAUUGAAAUGGCGAAAUUUUUUAAACCAAACACAGUUUGAUCCUUCACCAUGGCUAUUGCACUUGUCAAAAAGUGGUGAUUACAGAGCCGUCAAUGAUGGGAACCAGGAGAAGUACGGGUGGCGAUCUUGAAGGUUGUGAUAGUGCAAUUGUUUGGCUGGAACCAGUGAUUGGGAAGUGGCUCGAUGGACUCAGGGAAGAAGAUGGCUUGCUCUCGCUAGAAUCACGCGAUUGACGUCCUUCAAAUUGGUGUCGAUAGUGUAUCGAACCAGUAUUAGGUGUUGCUAGUGCGUGUGACGACGGGAAAGUUUAAGGUUUUUUGUUUGCAAAUUAUUGGUGACUGGGCGCAAUGCGAAUCCCACAAUGAAACUUUCAAACCCACACUUAAUUUGUAGUUUCAACUUCCUAGGAAAGUUCUAAAUAGAUUUAACACAAACAAAAUCUUGACCCAAUGCAUAAGAAAACAUGAACCAAAGGUAUAGAGAAUGAUAUUGACGCCACACUUAAGAAAUAGAUGAGAAGGUGAGUGAUAAGUCUAAAUUUGGAACGCCAUAAGAAUGCAAAUUCUUGAUAAGUUCACUAGUUCUCAAAAGAACGAAAGAAAGAAUAAUCUUUCAAAUUCAACUAACAUUAAUCUCUAAUUCCAUUACAUAGUAAGGUUGCUGAGUUUAAAUAAUCUAAAAGAAACCCAAGAUCCUAAAAAUACAAAUGGAAACAUUGGAACAACCCUCCAAGUAAGUUUGUCAAAGGAUGCUUCAAAAGUCUUCACCAACCCACCAUAAUUAAUGUUAUCUUUGACAAAUUUAAUGCUAGCCUACUAUAAUUAAUGCUAUCAUUGACAAAUUUAAUGUUAGCCCACCAUCAUUUAUGGUAGACUUACCUUACACAUUGACAAACUUUUGACAAACUUGAAACAAAAUAAAGAAAUGUAGUUGAAAAACAAAUGAGUCGUUGAAAAUCUCAAGUCUGAAUAAACUUUAAUGAAUUUGUCAUAACUCCUUUUAGAGAACUCCAAAUCUAGCUCUGUAAAAUGCAUUGGAAAGCUAACUUAAUUAUUUUUCCAAUGGUAUAUAGCUUGCACAUUACUUCUGCCUCAAUCAAUACCAGUUUUAUUCCGAAUUUGACCUUUUUGCAUUUGAUACAAAUUGUGUAUUUGGCUGCCCAAUAACUUGAAUAAUGCCUACAAUGCCUUGUCUUCUCUUCAAGCCCAAUUCAUAAUGUCUUGCAUCUUGAAUUUUAUUUUCAAUCCAUAUUUUCUCAAUUAAUCCAUUUAAAGCGAUUUGCAUCUUUUUGGCUCUAACCCUUGUAAUUGGGUCUCCAUGAAUGUGCAAAUGAUCACUUGAAACUUUAAUGGUAUUCCCUUGAUGGUUCUCAUCAUGGCGUUAUGUUACUUUACUUUUGGGUGAUUUUACAAAUUGUUGGUAACUUGCCAUUAUGUUACUUUGAUGUUGCUAGUGCGUGUGACUUUGCUUUUUAUUUUGUUUUCUAAUUUUUAUAAGUUAUAUUGUAUAUUUGAUUUUUUAAUUAUUUUUUAUUUAAUAUUAUUAUUGGGUAAUGGCUAAGAUAUGUUAUAGUGCUUAUGUAACUAUGUAAUGUUACAUUUAUAAUACUAUUUAAUUAAAUUUAUAAUAAUUUUUUAACUAAAUAUAUAUAUAGAUAUAUAUAUAUAUAUAUAUAUAUGACAAUUAUUUACAAUGCUUUAUUGGAGAGAAACUUCCAAAGCAGUCGUCUGGUAUAGAAGUACUAGGCUCUGAUACCAGAAGGAAAUAGGAUCGAAGGAUGAAUGUGUUUUAAGAAAGAAAUUAUAAACAAAGAAAUCAAUUCGCGAUUGAGUAGAUUUUAUUAAGAGUACGUGGCGUUGUGACCAUAUCGAUGCAGAACUUAAUCUGCCUUCGUGACCAGAUCUGACUUAGAACAUAUCAAUAUCACGCACGUUCUGUUUUCCAGCCGAUAUACUAUGUUUCUUUACCAGAUAUGAAUUAGGUUCUUUAAACAAGCCUAGCAACAGAUCUAGAGGCUCAUAUAUCGUACUAGAUCUGGAUCCCAGAAAAAGCACUCUGAAUGAAUGGAGGGAGAAGAGAAGAUACAACUGAGGAUAGAGAUCAGGUCUCGUUGCCUAAGAGGAACGUAGCAGUUUUAUGGCAGAGCUGAUACAGAUCAGUCUGCAAAAUAUGCAUAAAAUUUAAAUUACUGAAAUUUAAAUGCUUUAAAGUAAAUUGCGGAAAUUAAAAUGCAGAACUUUAAAUUUACAUCAAAGCUUUAAAUAAAAAUUUAAAGAACGAAUUAAACAUACAUGUUUGCUUUAUUUCUUUGAACUCAACCCUUUGUACAAUUUUACAGAUCUCUUCAAGAAGAAAGAUUGAAAGAUGGGAAGAUUACAAGACAGGAAAGGUUUCCUUGAUGUCUUGAUCCAGACUUCCCAAGAGAGAGAGAGAGAGAGAGAGAGAGGGAGAAGAAGAAGAGAAAGAAAAUUAGAUCUGAAAAAUCUGAGGAGUCUAAGUCUUCCUCUCGAUUUAAAUACAAAAAUAUUUUUUUUUAACUGUAGCGGGCCUGUAGCUUCUCUACUGUAGCGGAGCUUGCUUGAAACAGUAAUCUUUGGAACAUACAGUAUUUUCUAAUUUUAAUUCGGGUGAAGAGACAUGUGCGCUCUCACUUGUGUCCAGGGGACCACCCGAGGGUACAAACAAACGAACAAAAAUGGAAAAUACAAGGAAAAAUACUGGAAUACUCUUUUUUUUUCUUUUUUUUUUAAACAUACAUAACAAUUAUUUACAAUGCUUUAUUAGAGAGAAAAUUCCAAAGCAGUCGUCUUCAUUUUCAUCUCCAAGAGAGAUAAAGGGCUCUUCAUCUUGAUCAUCAUCCGAGGAGUCUGCAACUGAGGAUUUUGAUCUUGAAGUGAGGAGCUGCUCCAUGACUUUAAAAUAUUCUUCUUCAGAUUUGGCACUGGCCAACAGAGAUUGGGCUUUGGAUUUUUGGGUUAGAAAGGUCUCUUGGGCUUUCACGGCUUUAAUAGAUGGGGGUAAGAAGCCUUUAGAACAGAGCCAAUUGCGGAUCAGGGUGUCUGUCAAUUUAGACUGUUCGUCAAACUUUGACCACCAUUUUACUUUGAAUGUCCUUUGUAAGAUGAGCUGGGCAUCUUGGGUAUGAAAUCUGAGGUUCCACAUCCAUACCCAUGGAAGGAAGAAAUUUGUACAGAAACAGAGAAAUGGGGGAACCCUUUUCUCAGAUUCAGAAGGAAUAUAGUGGGCUUUAAAGAGGUUUAAACAAUGGGUGGCAUUUGGAGUUAGGAUCUGAGGGAUUGGGCCAAAAGAAUUCCACCAAUGUUGAAACCAGUUUGGGAGGCUUUGAACAAUUAUUUUUGAAUUGAAGAAAAAUAACCAAGAGUGAGAUUUUUUGGGGUUUUGGAUAAAAAAUGUGUUAUACCAGGCUUGUUGGUAAUCCCAAUAGGAAUAAGUCAAACAAUGUGGUAAACACAUUUGAAAAUUUGGAGGGAAGGUUUUUUGUUUGUGAAGUUGAUCACCCCACUGGUUUGGGCUCAAGACUUUUAGGAUAGUAGCCAUGGAAUAGGCUGGCUCUGAAUGGGUUUCACUAAGAAAGAAAUGUUUGAAUUUUACUGACUCAGUGGCUUCUAAAAUGCUUUGAUAGUAAGACUGGGGUUUUGUAAGAUCCCAUGGUUUGAAAAACCAACCUUUAGGGAAAAACUUUGAAAUAGAUUGAAAAGGAUCAGCAUGGUAAAAACCAUCUUCUAUAGAUAAAAUAUUUUGGAAGUGGGUUUUAUCAAACCAAUCAGAAGAUUUCUUUGAAAGUGUUGGCUGGGAAAGCACAAUUUGAGAAGAUGAACUUUCACCAGAGACAACUACAUUUUGAGAAGAGGGUUUUGAAAUCUCUUUGGAAACAAGUUUUUCUUUUUCAAUCUCUUCUUUAGGAGAAAUUUGGCUUUGGGAAAAGCUUUGUAGAGCGAGCAUAAGCUCAGUGGAUUUUGUAAUGGAACUCAUCCAUUGUUUUACUUGGUCAUCAGAGGUAAUUGCUUUGUAUUGGGCUUCUUGUUCUUCAACCAUUUCAAUCCAGGAUUUGAUGGGCAUGGCAGAAGAAAGCAAAUUUUCUUUAGAAGGGGUUGAAUGAGGUUCUUUAGAGGUUGCUUGAGACUCAGAGUCUUUAAGAACAACUUUACCUUUGUCCUUCUUUCUUGGCGGCAUUAUCUGUUUUGGAGAAAUUCUCUGGUUAGAAAAUCAGAGACAUAAUUUUUAUCUCCUUUAAUAAAUUCAAUAUUGAAAUCAAAAACACUUAAAAUGGCUUGCCAUCUUGCAAAAAUUUGUUUUGAAGCAAUAUUUUGAACAUCUUUUUCCAAAACAUGUUUUGCAGCUUUGCAAUCAAUUCUAAGCAGAAAUUUUUGAUUUAAUAAAUCACUUUGGAAUUUAGAUAUGCAUAAAACAAUAGAAAGAAUUUCUUUUUUUAUAGUAGAAUAAUUUUUCUCGCAAUCAUUCCAAUGUGCAGAAACAUAUUGUAUUAUAUGCUCUUUAUCAUUCUCUUUUUGUUUUAGUAUACCUUCAUAGCCUAAAUCAGAUGCAUCUGUUUCAACUAUUUUAGGUAAUGCAUGAUUUGCCAAGAAUAAACAAGGAAUAUUCUUUACAGAAUUUUUUAUCAAUCGGACAGCUUUGGUGUGUUCAUCUGUCCAUGCAACAUGAUUCUUUUUUAAUAUGUCAUGCAAAGGUUUAGACAUCCGGUUAAUAUUAGGACAGAAAUCAAGAACAUAAUUUAGACUUCCUAAAAAUCUUUGUAGUUGGGUUUUAUCAAGAAUUUUAUCAGGAAAUUUAUCCGCAAACAAAAGUGAUCGUUCAAUAGGGGUGAUAGUUCCUUUAGAAAUAUAGUGACCAAGGAAUCUGACUUUUGUUUGGAACAAUGAAACUUUAGAACUAGAAAGGGCUAGGCCAGCCUUCUUAGUGGCAAAAUAAAAAGUUUUUAAAUGCUUGAAAUGUUGAUCAAUUGUUUGAGAAAAAAUCAACACGUCAUCUAUAUAAACAAUGCAAAACUCAGAAUAAGGGUUAUAGAUGUCAUUCAUGAUUCUUUGAAACUCUGAUGGUGCAUUCUUUAAACCGAAUGGUUUUACAGUCUACUCAUAUUGUCCAAAAGGAACAGUAAAGGCAGUUUUAUAGCGGUCAUUAGGGUGGAUUUGGAUUUGCCAAAAACCCGAUUUCAUGUCAAAUUUUGAAAAAAUAAAAGCUGAACACAAUUUCUGGAGUAAAUCGUUUUUAUUAGGUAUAGGAUAUCUAAUCUAUUUUAAUGCUUUAUUUAAAGGUUUGUAAUUUAUUACAAGUCUUGGUGUUCCUCUUUCUAUUUCGGAGUUUUUAUUAACAUAAAAAGCGGCCCAAGACCAUGGGGAUCUGGACUUUACAAUGAGUCCUUUGGUCUCUAAAUCUUUUAUCUCAUUUUUACAGUGUUGUUCCAAUUCCAUGUUCAUUUGGAUUGGACGAGCUUUAGUGGGUAUUUAUUUUUCAUCAAAAGAAUUGUCAUAGGGCAAAUCUACCAAAUGUUGUUUUCUAUCCCAAAAAGCAAAUGGUAAAUCGGCGCAUAUUUUUUUUUCAAUGAGAUUUUUAAAAUCAGAGAUCUUUCUUUGUAUAAAGUCAUUUUGUAACUGGCUUUCAAUUCUUUGUAGACUUAAGUCCUUUUUUAAACAAAACAAGUCAUUUUGUUUAGAUUUAAGCAUGGCAUUGAUUUGAUUCUGGUAAACAGAACAAGCUUUAACAAUAUUUAGAUUUCUUGUUUUUGGUUUCUCAAUAAAAGGGAAAACAAGCUUUUUGGAUUUUGCUUUAAAACAUAUGCUAUCAUAAUUGACAAUAUAUGAGGUAAUUAAAUUUAUAAAUGAGGUUCCUAAAAUGACUGUAUGGUGUAUGUCAUUUGUAAGAAGAAAAGAAGUUCUGAAUUCAAAACCAUUGUUAUGCACUGAGGCGUCUACUUUUGACUUAAUUUUUAGUUUUGAAUUAUUGGCGGCCGAGAGUCUUUCAUUUGUCUUUUCAUGGAAUUUUUUAGGGACAAUAUCUUCUUUAAUGCAAUUCAAAUCGGCACCAGUGUCAAAGAGAGCAAUGGUGUCAAUUUCAAAAUCUUUAGAAAAAAUUAAAGUGAUUUUCAUCAAAUACUUUCUGGUGGUGAUUUGUUUUAAAACAAACAGGAAAUCAUUAGGUGCAGAUUCAAUGUUUUCAAGGUUUUGUUCAUUGUCACCAUCAGUUUCGGCUUCUUUAUCAGAAUUAUCUUCUAAUUGUUUUUGUAUGAGAAGUUGGAUAGUAUCAGAAUCAUUCUUUUGUUUUUCUUUUAAUUCUUUAAUCUCAAGUUUGAUUUCUUUGAUCUUUUUCUGAAGAUCUUGGAUAUUGGGGACAGUUUUGUUUGUUUUCUUUUUGUCCAAAAUCUCAGUAAGGUCAUAAGAGUUCUUUUUAACAAUUGGAACUUUAGAAGUUUCUGCUUUAUUAGAAUCUAAGGUCUUUAAAAGUUUAUCAAGGUAUUCUUUCUAAAUAUUCGGAUCAGUAAUAUGUUUAACAAGUUCAAGAAAAAUUUCUUGGUCUUUAGUCAAAACAUUGAUUUUCUUUAAAUAGGAAUCUGAAUUGCUGGUGUCGGAGUCACUCAAAGAAACAGAUUCAGAGUCAUUUAACUCAUCAACCUGUAGAGGUUCACUAUCUCCCGUCAUGGAAGACUCAGAGUCAGAAGACUCUAUAAGCAAAGAGGCAACUUUGGAGAGGGUUUCAUCAUCAAGAUCAAGCUCAUGGAGCUUUCUGUUCAUUCUGCAAAACUUUGCAGUAUGGCCUUUCUUUCCACAUUUGUAACAUGUGGCUUCUUUAUAAUUAAACGAGAUUUUUGGUUUGGCUCUAAACUCUUUCUUUUUAGAGAAGUUGGGUUUCUUAUAAGGCUUCAAAGGUUUCUUAUAAGGAAGUUCUCUAAAGUCUUGAAAGGGUUUCUUAUGAAAUCUAGAUUUGUAAUGUUUCUUGUAAGGUUUUGUAGAACACUUACCAUUACAAUCUUUGGAAGUAGAAGUCUUAAAGGGGUUAUAAUUGAAUUGUUUACAGAAACUGCCUAAUUCUUGCUUAGACUUCUUAAGCUCCCAUUUUAGACGUUUCUGUAUCUUCAAAUCUUGACAAAUCUUUAAGCCUUCCUUAUUGACAAAACUAACAAGUUCACCAUAGGUGAGCUCAUCAUAAGGAAUUCGGUUAUCAUAAAGAGCUUUAAUGGAAUUCCUAACCUUUUCUCCUAGUAGGGUAGGUAAACCUGCAAGGAAUUUCUCUUUCCAAGUUAUAAGAUUUGCAUCAUCCCUAAGGAAGAGUCUGGUGAAGAAAGUGGUUUUAUAGCUUUGGAAUUCACUAAGUUUUCUACACCUCAGGUUGUGUAGUAACUCGGCGUUUUUGUCUCUAAGGUGAGAAGGGUCACCUAUGAAAUGGAGGGAUAUAGUUAGAAUCAGGGUAGCUACAUCAUCCUGAAUUGGACUAUUGAACUCAUAAAGAAUAGGGGCAUUAUUCUCAUCAACUUGAAUGGAGUUUAGGAUAUCUAAUUGUUGCUGUUUGGUGAGGAGAUGAUCCCACCAUCCUUUAAGUUGACCAGUAAAACCAGCAACGAGAAUUUCUGCAAUGGCUCUAUCCGAAGUUCCCGUCUAUGUUUUAUAGGCAUUGGCUGCCAUGGUCAUUUGUCGCAACAAUCCUAGGAUGUUGUAUUCAGACAUACCAUCAAUAUUCCACUCAUAGACAGAAGAUGCAUUAAAUCGUGAUUGAUUUAAAGCACUUGGUCUAUUAUCUAUAGCUAGAUCUGGUGGAGUCUUGACAGUAGGUAGGGCUAAAUCCCAAUGGAUUUUGUUAGCAUGAGGAACAAAAGGUUCUUCUUUAAAUGCUUCUAUGUCUGAAGAGAUUGUAGAAACAUCAUCAUGCUCUAGUACACCAAUCUUGCUGGAUUGGGCACUAUCAGGGGCUAUUUGGACCUUAGAAGAAAAAGAAGAAGAUGAAGCUUCUAUUCAAUCUAAUUGGUCUCUAAUGGCUUUAGCAAAAUCUGAUUUUGACUCUUGAACAAGCUUUUGGCUAGUUUUCGAAACCUGGAAAGGUUUGAAAAUAGGUUCCUUAAGCUUUUUGUCAGAAUCCGAUUUUGAUGAAACAGGAGAAACUUUUAUGGUUGGCUUUUGGAACUGGCUUUCUAUCCUAGUCAAUUGUUUUCCUAUAGUAUUUAAGUUAGUAUUACAAAAAUUAUUCUGUUGAAUAAUACUACUUAAAUUCGCAUCAGAAUCAUUUGGUUUUGGGAUUUUGUAAGGUGAGGCUCUAAUCUCAAUAGGAGGUUCACCAUGGUUAAUAGUUAAACUCCUAAGAGGUGGAUGUUCAGAUUCUAUGGUUCUAUUGCUAUCAGAAAGAUUCCACUCAGGGGUUUUCUUCCUAACAGUAAUAGGGUUUGACUCUUUAAAAGGAUAAGAGAUGUUGUUAUUGGAAGAAUAUAUCUCAAACCAAUCAAAAAACAAUAUAUGAAUUUUUUGAGAAUUUACAAAUGCAUAAUAUGUCUCUUGAAUUUCUUUUCUUUUAUUUAGAAAAUGUUUAAAAAACCAGAGUCUUUUUUCUUUAUUAUUAUCUGAAUAAAAGUCAUUGUGAAGAAGAGUUUUAUUCAGCUCAAAGUCUUUCGUUAUGACAUUUAUUACAUUUUCUGUGACAGCAGAAAACGUAGGAGAAGUUGGAGGAGAAGGGUCCUUCUCUUCCUGUCUUUGCUCAUGUUGUUUCGGAAUCACUGGUGCAGUGGCACCUUCAAAAAUCCAUUCAUCUGGAAGAUUGAUAUCUUUCCAUUGUAUUGAUUUUGGAAUGACAGUAUUUGCUUUGGACAGAUCAGUUUGUAAAAGGAGAGUCUCGUCUCUUUUUGACUGGAAUUUAUGUUGCGUGCUAAACGCAGAAAUCAUGGCUUUAUAAGAAAUUUUAAAGAUUAAAGCAACUGGGACAGAUCCUUUUAUCAUGUGAUAAUUAUGGGUCUUGAUUUGUAAAAUCAUACUUUUUAAAAUGUUCUUGUCUUUUAAAGAAAUUGUUAUGUUGGGAUAACAAUUGAAUGAAAUGGGACCUUUACAAAGACUUGAUUCUAUACUACUUAGUAAAGAAUCAUCAAAGGAGAUGAAACGACCAUCUCUCAGGACAACCAGAAUAGACGUAUCAAGACAUUCUUUCGUUAGAGGUUUUAUGCCGACUUGUAUUAGUCCGAUGUGAAUAUAAUUAAAAUUUUUAUCUUUUAAUUUCUUUAAAGACUGUUAUGAAAACAAAUGAAUUGUUUCAAAAGGUUCUGAAAGGGUUAUGUCACGUUCUUCGGUCUUUAUAACAUAAUCAUUUUUUAAAAAAUCAAGAUUUUUUGUUUUGUAAAUCAUUUCUUUAUUCACCUUUGGUAAUUCACAAUUAUCAAUUGCUUUAUUGAAGUCUUCGAUAACAAAUUCUUCAGAAUUCACAACAUUCUUUGAAUCGCUAGUUCUUCCAGAAGAAGAGCUAGAAAAGGACGAUGCUCUACAAAGUAGAGAAUCCAUGAAUCAAAACCUAUGGUCUACUCAAAGACCUGUUGGUAUGGUUACAGGUUUGGUUUUACUGCCCUAAGCGGAAAAUCUUAUCCUAAAGCGGGACUGACUACCAGUAAGGAAUUCACCACACAAACAAGAAUUAAAAUAAAACACAAGUCUUUAGACACAGAGACUCUAAACUAUACAACACUUUCCUCCCCUUGGCUCUGAUACCAGAAGGAAAUAGGAUAAUGGAUGUGUUUCAUAUAUAUAUUGCGGAUUCACGAAUUUUUACAGAUUUGUACCAGUAAAUCCAUAUCCAAUCCAUCGACUGCGGAUUUUUAAAAUUUUAAUCCAUAUCCAAUCCACGGAUCCACGGAUCGAAUUUAUACGGAUCAGACAUAUUGAAUUGAUCGGAUUAGAUUAUGAACACCCUUAAGCUGAGGCUAGGUGUUUUUAGUUUUGGAUAUGUCGUUUUGUCAGUGGGAACGGCGCCAUUUGUUUGGGUUUAAAAUUGAGCAUAUUUAUGAUACUUAGAGGAAUCGUACAAAAAUCUGUUAACAUAUAUGUUUCCAUAAUAUUGAUUUUGAUGAUAACAAACAAGUUUAAGAAUGAUUAAUCUUUUAAGCUCAAAUUAUUUAAUAUUCUUUUUAAAUAAAUCAUUAUUUUCACAUUAUAAAUGUUUUAUAUUUAAUGGAAAAAUGAUUUUAUGAAAUUGAUUGUUUUUAUUCUUUUUAAAUAAAUCAUUAUUUUCACAUUAUAAAUGUUUCAUAUUUAAUGGAAAAAUGAUUUUAUGAAAUUGGUUAUUUUUCAAAGUUUAUGGUUUAAUUGAAAGAAUUUUGAAAACUUUGAAAUAAACAAGUAUUGCUUGAAAUUUUGGAGAAGGACUUAUUUGAAAAGUGUCAUAGUAUUUUGGGCUAUACCAUAAUUUCAGAAAGUUUUGGGAUUAACAAAGCAUUACUUAGAAAUUCUGAAAUUGGACCUAUGUGCAAUGUUUCAUAACAUUUUGGGUCAUACUAUAGUUUUGUAAAGUUUUGGGGUCAAACUGUAAUUUCAGAAAAUUCUUUCAGUGUAGCAAUCACUGUAGCAAACGGCUAACCGUUUAUUUAAAAAUGGCUAACCGUUUAUUUAAAAACGGCUAACCGAUAAUUUCCAGAAAGCAUGUUCUGCAAAGUAUUGUUAAAAUGAUGAUUCUGGAAACUAACGGUGAACCGUUUACUGAAAACGGUUAACCGAUUAUUUUCAAAUUGCUAACCUUGAACCGUUUAGUAAGAACGGUUAAACCAAAUUUAUUUUGCAGGUCUCUGGAAGUUAACGGCGAAAGGGUAAGCCUAAACGACUAACCGUUUAUUUGAAAAUUGGCCCAACGGUAACUUUGACCGGCCUAAACGGUUAACCGUUAAUAGUUAACGAUGAACCGUUUUCGAGCAGACAGUCUAUAACGGCUAGUUUUUCAGCUCCAACUAUAAAUAAGUUCAAUCCAAUUCAAACAAGUAGAAUUCCAACGAUCAUCAUUGAGCAAAAUAUUGAGAAUACAACUUUCAUUGAGCUUUAAAUCUUUGUAUUCAUCUCAUUCAUUCACACAUUGAGCUUUCACUUGUGAUCAAAUACAUUGUAUGAGAGGGAUUCAUUUGUAAUCUUUUUUGUAAAAUCAAGUUAAAAGAUUGUAAGUGUUGGGAUACACUUGGGUUAAGAGAUUGGGGAUAAUCUCUUGUUGUAAAGGUCCAUUGACACCUUGGAAGUCAAUUGUAAGCGUUUGAAGCCUUGGGAGGCUAGCUUAGUGAAAUCCUCAAGCCCGGUGAGCUUGGAGGCGUGGACGUAGGCGGGGAUUGCCGAACCACGUAAAAAUCAUUGUGUUCGUUUUCUCUUCCCUUACUCUUUUAAUAUUGUGUAUGAUUGAAUUUAUUGUUUUCAAUUUGAUUAAGGCAAUAGAUUAAAUUGUUGUGUGGUUUGCUUAGCUUAAAUUUUAAAAUCCCAAUUCACCCCCCUCUUGGGUUGCCUAGUUAGUAUUUCAAAAUCGUCAUACGUAGUUACGUACUAAACUCAAACUGACUGGUCUGAGUAUUUAUUUAAUUUUAAUCAAUUAAAUACACCUGACUGAGUGAGUUUAAAUCUCAUCGGAUGGUGUACAAAUACGAUCUGUCGAAUUCAUAGGAAUUAUUUUAAUCUCCGCCACAAAAAUAAAAAGAAUUACAUUUUUAUUAUUUCUAAAAAAACUUUCAAAUAAUAAUAACGUCCGCAUUAUUGAAUUCCACAAAUCCUGCAAUAUAAGAUGCCCAUUUGAUGUCUAUAUAAUCCUCCAAUUCAAGCUGCCCAUUUGAUGAUUAUAUUUUUUUUUUAUUUUUCUCAUUUUUGUCUUCUUGUUUCCUUAACAAAUAAUAAUAUAUAAAUACUUCAAAAAUACUUCAAAAAUAAACAAGAAUAUAAUGUUAGUCAACAUGGCAGCUUUCACUUUUAGAAAGAAAAAGAAGGAAAACGAAAUUAAAAAGAUUCUGUACUGGACAAACUAUAAUUCCCCAUUCAGAGGUAGUUAAAUUUCAUCCAUACAUUUCAUUAAUAAUAAAUAAAUGAUACAAGAUAAUUUAAAAAUUUAGAAGAAUUUAAGCUAAGAAACCCAAAAUAAAGUUGCUUGGAAUUUAUAACAUCACUUUCCAAAUAAAAAUAAUUGUACAAAUGCACUUAUAUACUUCAAGUUGACAGCUUAUGCAGCAGAAAGGAAUUGAUUAUAUCAUUAUCCUUGCUGAAAAUACGUAGGUAAAGAGAUAGAGAGGUUUUUUUUUUUUUUUUUUGAAUGAGAACUAUUGCUCAUGAUAUUUACAAUCAUAUAAAUAUUGAGACCCGUUUACAUCAAUUUUGAUAUGACACCGCUCAGAUUUUAAACCUUCUCAAAUAUUCGAGGAACAUCAACUCCCAUCCUGAGAGAAAGACUGUCUUCACUCAAGCUCUAGGACUCCAAAAAAAAAAAUUAAAUUAAACUCCUACAAUACGUUUACGGAGGCUCGAACUGCUUCCCUCACAUUUAUGAAUGAGUAGCUCUAGCCACUUGGGCUUAGCCCUAAGCCCAAGUGGUUAGAUAGAGAGGUAUUAGAUGCAAAGCAAAAGUGAUUUUCUUUCUUUCUUUAUCCGUGUUUUGAUGAAAAAAGUGAUUUGAGUGAGUAAUCAUCAUUGUACUAAACAAAUAAUUGAAAGAGUGGCAUACUAAUAAUCUUCACAAGCGCCAUUCAUUGGCUUCUUACUCUUUUUUUUUUUAAGAGAGAAUAUAGUAACAAAUUUAAUAUCACUAUCUUUUUCGUUCUAAACAGGGGUGGCUUUAGGUAUAGGCGAGUAAGACAGUCGCCUAAGGCCUCAUAUUUUAAGAAGGUCUCAUUUUUUUUAAUAUUUUCUUAAUAAUUCUCUAAUUAAUAAAUUUUUUUAAUACAUAUUUUAAGAAUUAAGAGUUAUUUUUGAUUAAAAAAAAUCUAUUUUUGGAAACCUUAAUUUUAAAGAAAUAUAAUUAAUAAUAUUCUUUAACCAUUAGUUGAUUCAUUAUUAUUAUUUCCAAAAAAUUAUUUACCUUUUUAAUUAUUCAAUGUUAGAAUCUUUGAUUUUUAGUAUUUCUUUUAAUUUCUAUUAAAAACCUUAUAAUCUCAAGAAUUAGUAAAUGAAAAAAAUUUCUUAUUCUUUUCUAUACAAAGAAAAUCAUUAUAUUUAUUGGUUCAUGUAAAAUAAUUAGUUUCUUAAAAUAUAAAGUCCAUUUUUGUUUUUGAACAUCAAUUCAUCAUUUCAAAAUUUUGUACUCUAUCAUUUUAAAUAUUCUAUUUGAAAAAAAUAUUGUUUUUAUUUAUUUGUCUGUUUGUUUUUAACGGUUUUAAUGGAAUAAAAAAAAUACCUUCUUGACUAUUUUUUAGGUUUUAUUUUUAAAAUUUUUGAUCUUUUUUUAUUAUUAUUGAAAUUCAAAAAUUAAAGAUGAAAUAAAUUUUAAUUCUUUUUAUUGUCUUUGAGUAUUGAAAUUACAAAAUAAAUAGAGGACUCAUAAGAAAAUUUUGCCUAAAGCCCCUCAGACUCUAAAAAGGAUAGCAAAAUGCUCCAUGAAAUCCUACCUCAAAUGAGAUAAAUUUUAAUGAUUUUUCUAAAAGUAAGAAAAAAAUAAUUUAUAAAUAAUUUAUAGAUUGAAAUUUGGCUUUAUACAUCUUACCCUAUCUCUACCGUCUAAAUAUUUUAUAUUUUUAUAUAGUUUAAGAUAUUAUUUCAAUUGGAUUAUUUUUUAUUUUUAAUAAUUUAAAUAUUUUACAAUAUGUUGGUGGUGGUUUUAUUUGAGUCAUUUUAAUUUUCUUUUCACCAAAAUUAUAUAUAAAAAUCAACAAUAAAAUAAGCAAAUGAGAAGACGGUGGGAUGGAUAACUUAUCUUACACAAAGAUUUUCUAUUCCCAUUAGAGAAUGAAAUUUAUUCUAAUGGGGGUGGGUAAUCGAGAUGGUCUCCCCAAUUACUCCGCCACGUUGUCAUCCUUAUACUAAAUCAACCGUAUUCUACCAAGCAAUACGACCAUCGUGAAGAAACAAUGUAUUAUAUAUUGUUUAUAAUUUAUAGAAUGCGUAAGGAAGCAGAAAAUUAUCUUUGAAAAUGAGAGGGAAAUGGAGUUUACAGGAAAUUUCCUGCUAUCAUCAAAUUCGGCUACAUGAUAGCAAGUGUCAUUGGUAAGGAAGCUUACAACUUCAAAUUUAUAUACGCGGGCGAUAUAUAUAUAGCAUAAUUGGCAAAAAUGAGACACCAAAUUUCAUUAUUGACAAAACACACAGCAGAAGUGAUUGGUCUUCUAAUUUGAUCUGUUUACCCGGUAUUUAUGGUGCUAAAAAGCAACAACCAUGCACGCUUUUUCUUCUUUUAUUUUUGGGCUUUUUUUUUGUGAGGGUUUUUUUUUUGGGGGGGCCUGAUUCAAUUUCGUUAGUUUAAAAAUUAAAAUUGAUCUGUUGUAACUUUUAAAAUUGGCCAAAACACAGCUACGUCAUGUCGAUCCGUGUUAAGUUGUGAUUAUAACUAUAUGUGUAGUGCGAGAAUUUCUUGAUGACUGGACGACGCGGCAACAAAAGUAGGCCAAGAUUCCUCUCAUCGGAUCACAGAGUGGGAGAAAGAAUAGAUAUGACGAAUGGCAGCAAUUCUCCAAUUCCAAAUUCAUAUUCGUCUCAGUGAAAGAUUAGGCUUAUGGGGAGACGACACGAGUUUGAAACUGGUAAAAUUGGGCCUAUUAAGGCCCAGAUCAAAGUCCGACCCCCGUGCCCUCUCCAACAAAAUCACUAUCUCACAAAAAUCUCAGUCCAAGAGAAGGACAUUCCGAAGGAUAUUCCACGCUAAUUUUUCAAAUUUCCUUUUUUUUUUCCCUUUUUUUUUUUCUUUCUCCACCUACUAUACAGUUCCACAUCUCACAAAAAUCUCCAACUACUAGGCCCCAUGCAGCCGUGCUGGGUCUCCAUCAAAACGACAAAUACUAUAUAUUUUCCAAUUUUUAUAAUGCAUGUUUAAAAAAUAUAUUUCCCCUUUUGUCAUCUUCCCUCCUUAUCUAAAAUUAUCCUUUCAUCUCCGUUUACUUGCUCUACCCCACGCGCCGACCAAGUCACCCCAAUUCUUUAUUUCGUAAUGUCAGGUAUUUUGCAGAUCCAUAUCGAUAAUUAUCCAACCUCUACUCCAUUUAUCGGCAAUUCCGCCAUCGGAUUCCCGCCGAUUCAAGGAAAAAUAAAGGCACAUCAAAUUAAAAAAACAUAAAAAAGGAUACGUAAUAUAACAAGACAAGCCCUAUCUUAUUUAAAAAAGGCAGCUCAUAGAAAGACAUAAAAAACAGUUCAUCAAGAACCACCACCGGAGACCCGAUCCGACCCGAACAAGUAACAUAGCAGGAAAAUUAGAUAAAGAUUAAAAGUCCUACAGACACGCCCACAUAAUAAUAGAUAACAUAAUCAUCAUCACGAUCGCGAUCAGACGGCCCGUGAUGAUGGCGAUCAUUAUCAUGAUCAAAUCUAAGACAAUUGACCGCAAUCAGCGAUCACGACGGGCUUGUUGGUCCUUCCGGAGCUGGACCCCACUUUCUCGAUGGCCUUGACGACGUCCAUGCCUUCGACGACUUGACCGAACACAACGUGCUUCCCAUCGAGCCACUCGGUCUUGGCCGUACAGACGAAGAACUGAGAUCCGUUGGUUCCGGGUCCGGCAUUCGCCAUGGAUAGGAUUCCGGGGCCGGUGUGCUUCUUCACGAAGUUCUCAUCGGCGAAUUUCGAGCCGUAGAUUGAUUCGCCUCCGGUUCCGUUUCCGGCGGUGAAGUCUCCCCCCUGGCACAUGAAUCCGGGGAUCACACGGUGGAAGGACGAGCCCUUGUAGUGGAGUGGCUUGCCGGACUUGCCGACGCCUUUCUCGCCGGUGCAGAGGGCUCGGAAGUUCUCGGCGGUUCGGGGGGUGACAUCGGCGAAGAGUUCCAUCACGAUCCGGCCGGCCGGCUGACCGCCGACGGUCAUGUCGAAGAACACUUUGGGGUUUGGCAUUUUUGAUUGGUUGAUUGGAGAGAAAAAAACAAACUAAACACGAACUUCUGAUUUGGUGAUUUGUUGGCGAAUUUGUUAGGGUUUUGGGGCAAUUAAAUAGGGGAUGAAGCGGUGGGGGAGUAACAAAAAGUGAAUCUGGACCGUUGAGGUGGGACACGUGGAGGUAUCGUGGGGCGGGGUGGAAGUAACUGUGGUUGAGUUAAGGUUUACUAGAGUUAUGUGAGGGAUCCAAGGCUGGGUGUUUUAAGUUUUGGAUAUGUCGUUUUGUCAGUGGGAACGGCGUCGUUUGUUUGGGUUUAAAAUUGCGCAUAUUUAUGAUACGUAGCGGAAUCGUACAAAAAUCGUCAUACGUACUAAACUCAAACUGACUGGUCUGAGUAUUUAUUUAAUCAAUUAAAUACACCUGACUGAGUGAGUUUAAAUCUCAUCGGACGGUGUACAAAUACGAUCUGUCGAAUUCAUAGAAAUUAUUUUAAUCUCGCCAUAAAAAUUAAAAAAAAUUAUAUUUUUUAUUAUUUCUAAAAAAAUUUCAAAUUAUAAUAACGUCCGCAUUAAUGAAUUCCACAAAUCCUGCAAUUUAAGAUGCCCAUUUGAUAUUUGUAUAAUCCUCCAAUUCAAGUUGCCCAUUUGAUGAUUAUAUUUUUUUUUUCUCAUUUUUGUCUUCUUGUUUCCUUAACAAAUAAUAAUAUAUAAAUACAAAAAAUACUUCAAAAAUAAACAAGAAUAUAAUGUUAGCCAACAUGGCAGCUUUCACUUUUAGAAAGAAAAAGAAGGAAAACGAAAUUAGAAAGAUUCUGUACUGGACAAACUAUAAUUCCCCACUCAGAGGUAGUUAAAUUUCAUCCAUACAUUUCAUUAAUAAUAAAUAAAUGAUACAAGAUAAUUUAAAAAUUUAGAAGAAUUUAAGCUAAGAAACCCAAAAUAAAGUUGCUUUGAAUUUAUAACAUCACUUUCCAAAUAAAAAUAAUUGUACAAAUGCACUUAUAUACUUCCGAGUUGACAGCUUAUGCGGCGGAAAGGAAUUGAUUAUAUCAUUAUCCUUGCUAAAAAUACGUAGGUAAAGAGAUAGAGAGGUAUUAGAUGCAAAGCAAAAGUGAUUUUCUUUCUUUGUUUAUCCGUGUUUUGAUGAAAAAAGUGAUUUGAGUGAGUAAUCAUCAUUGUACUAAACAAAUAAUUGAAAGAGGGGCAUACUAAUAAUCUUCACAAGCGCCAUUCAUUGGCUUCUCACUCUUUUUUUUUUUUUUUUUAAGAGAGAAUAUAGUAACAAAUUUAAUAUCACUAUCUUUUUCGUUCUAAAGUAAGAAAUAAUCUCAAAUAUUCCCAGGGAAGAAGAAUCAUCCCGCUCUCUGUGUGUGGACCAAACAUAGUAGUGUGCCCAUUUCGAAAUAUUGGAACUUUGGCGCCAUGAAAUCCAUGUGUCUUCACAAUUGUGAAUUAUUUGUUUAUAUGGAUACCACCUUCGCAAGGUGCGAGUCCCCGCUGCAUGCCUAAAGACAAACAAUACUGUCCCUUUGGAGGGAUAAUUCACAUACUUCACGUACAUGAAUAAUGGUGACAGUUACGCGUGCCCUCAAAAUCAUGAUUAAAUUUCAUUCAAUGUCUUUUUCUAGUUUUUUUAACUUGUUACAAGCACUAAUUUAGUCUUCCCUGAAUUCACAGUUUUUGAGAGAGAGAACUGAAAUAAAUCCUUGUGAGGGCUCGACCCCAGGUGAGUUACCAUCGCCAACUAGACUCGGUUGCACGUCUUUUUGUGGUUGAUCAGAAACCAAAACCCACAAAAUUGAAAAUUCUAUAUUGAAUUAACAGAAGCCCCCUUAAUGUCGAUGAAAUUCUCC